rnacentral:rRNA from 1 species
CCCUUAGAUGUUCUGGGCCGCACGCGCGCUACACUGAUACAUGCAACGUGUUUAUAACCUUGAUCUGACGGUCUGGGUAAUCUUCAAACUGUAUCGUGUUAGGGAUCGAUUCUUGCAAUUUUUAAUCGUAAACGAGGAAUUCCUAGUAAACGCAAGUCAUCAGCUUGCAUUGAUUACGUCCCUGCCCUUUGUACACACCGCCCGUCGACUCUACCGAUUGAAUGGUUCGGUGAAAACUUUGGACUGUGGCAUUGUCCUUCAUUGGACUUCGCCGUAGGAAAUUGUUUAAACCUCAUCAUUUAGAGGAAGAAUAAGUCGUAACA